UACGUAGGGGGCAAGCGUUGUCCGGAAUUAUUGGGCGUAAAGAGCGCGUAGGCGGUCCGAUAAGUCGGCUGUGAAAGUCCAGGGCUCAACCCUGGAAAGCCGGCCGAUACUGUCGGACUAGAGUCCGGAAGAGGCAAGUGGAAUUCCCGGUGUAGCGGUGAAAUGCGCAGAUAUCGGGAGGAACACCAAUGGCGAAGGCAGCUUGGCUGGGACGGUACUGACGCUGAGG
rnacentral:rRNA from 1 species